ACUCAACACUAACAAAUUAAAAUGAGCAAAUCGUCGUUACUAAAGCACGCCAUUUUACGUGGAUCCUUGACCAACGAGUUAGCUCAAAACUUGUCUUUUCGAGUUU
rnacentral:sRNA from 1 species